GGAUCUGAUUCUGAAUGAGACGGAGAGCCACAGAGAGAACAGAGGAGAGGCGGAACCUGGGCUGUACUACCCAGAUCCCCCUUCAGCGAACGCCUGCUGUCUGGAAGUGCUACUGGCUGACUGGUAAUGACCCUUUCAGGACGGCCUCAGCUACAGCGGGCUGCUUUGCCAGAGCAUAUAGCCUUCAUGGAACAGACCACAGCCAAGACUGACUGAUGAGGGACUAUAAAGACCUGGCUAUCUUAGCCCAACUUGAGACAACUUUGAAGAGCCCUUCCAGCUUGAAAGACCAACAUGUGGUUGGCCAAGACUAUCACUGGGCCUGCAUAACCUGUUGACUUCUGCUGAAGCCUGAUCCUUCCACUCCCUUCUACAAAUGUUGACCCCAAAAGCACUCCUUUAAAAAGUCCUUCAUGCUAAACACGACCUCAGUCUGCUUCCAGGGAGCCAGUCUGUGAUAAAGCGACAUGCUAGCUUAUGCUGUAAAAGGAUGAUCUUUCUGGCGGCUGUGAGGAGGAGUAGGGGCAACAUGGAAGCAGGGAGAUUUGUUAGGAGGCUAUUACAAUGACUCAGAUGGAAGACAACAGUUACUAGAGCUAGAAUGACUGUAGAUGAGGAGGGAAGACACAGUCAGAUGCUAGAUAUAUAUGAUACCUGAGCCAAGAGACUUCUUUAGUAGACUGAUGUGGGAGAGAUUACGAUCAUUUUAAAGUUUUUUGGCCUAAGCAACUGAAAAGUAGGUCUGCCAUUUACCAAGAAAGGAACGGUGUGGAAAUGAAAAGUCCAGUUUGGGACAUGUGAAGUUUAAUAUGCCUAUUAAUCUCCCAGAUGGAAAUGUCCAGUGGGAAGCCGCACAUGUGGAUCCGGACUUCAUAGAAGAGCUCUCUGCUGGAGAUGGAAAUUUUGGAGUAAGACUCCAUUAAAACCAUAACACUGAACAAGAUGAUCUAGUUACAAAGGUUGAUAGAGAAGCCAGACUUGUGCCCUCAUUUAAGGGUCAGGAAGAUGAGAAGGAUUCGGCAAAGGAGACUAAGAUGGAGAGAUCUUGGAGGCAGGAGGAAAGGAAAGAGAGACAGUUUUGAGAGUACAAAUAAAGCGUUUCAAGGAGGACGGUGUGAUCAGCUGUGUCACAUGCUGCUGAUAGUGUUGAGUGACAUGAAGACCAAGCUCUUACACUAGAUUAAAACCCUCCUCAACGAGAACACAUGCCAUUUGCCAGCACUAUACAGACAUUGCUUCAUGACAACUCUGUGAGGGAAGUAAUAUAGACCACAUUUUUACAGAGAAGGGCAUUUAAUGUGCAAGAUUUAAAGUGUCUAUGCCAAAUAGAUGGGGAAACAGUAGAAAGUGUCAGACUUUAUUUUGGGGGGCUCCAAAAUCACUGCAGAUGGUGACUGCAGCCAUGAAAUUAAAAGAUGCUUACUCCUUGGAAGAAAAGUUAUGACCAACCUAGAUAGUAUAUUCAAAAGCAG
ensembl:lncRNA